AAUGCCCAGCUUGAGAAUCUGGCGCCUGCGGCGUCCGAAUUGUAGUCUGGAGAAGCGUCCUCAACGGCGGACUAGGCCCAAGUCCCCUGGAAAGGGGCGCCGGAGAGGGUGAGAGCCCUGUCGAGGCUGGACCCUGCCGCACCACGAGGCGCUGUCUGCGAGUCGGGUUGUUUGGGAAUGCAACCCCAAUCGGGCGGUAAAUUCCGCCCAAGGCUAAAUACGGGCGAGAGACCGAUAGCAAA
rnacentral:rRNA from 1 species